UUUCUCCGGUUAUUUGACCCUGGAACCGAUUAGAUCGUGGGCGCACGACGUCCGUUCGGUUCCAUCUCCCCCCUUCCCCCGUUCCGUUGUCGUCGCCGUCUCCGCACGUCGGAGCUGCCCGCCGGAGAUGUUUAACUGUGCGGAGGUGGUGUAGUGGGAGAGCGGCAAGUCCAUCAACGCCAUCGCCGCCGCGCAGGGCAUCCGGGUCCGCCGCCGCUGCCGCCCGAGCUACCUGUCCGAGGGCGUCAGCGCCGACAGGGCCAUCCCGCCGGACGUCCUCGAGCAGGUCGUCUGGGACAAGGAGGUCGAGGUCUCACAGCGGAAGGCCCGGGCGCCGCUCCACAGGGUGGCCGAGUCUGCGCAGCGCGCGCUGCCACUCAGGGACUUAGCCGCGGCCGGCGGCGCGCCGCAACGGAGGGCUCCCCGCGCUCAUCACCGAGGUGAAGAAGGCGUCGCCCACCAGGGGACUCCUCAGGGACCACUUCAACCCGGUUAGUUGUACUCAUGGGCUGAGACUUCUUUCUUGGAUUUGGAUAUAGCUGCGCCCUGCAAUCUCUGAAUCGAAGAUUGACUGUGUGUGUGAGUGACCAAUGCGAUUCUGCAAAAUUCUAGACAGGUCGAGAUAGCGCAAGCCUACGAGAAGAACGGCACGGCCUGCUUGAGCAUCCUGACUGACGAGAAGCACUUCACACUUGCUUCUUGUUCUUCAACUGAUGAAAUUUUUUUGUUACAGCUGUCUGACAUUUUCUGAUCCUGUGCAUAUACGUUUCUCUAGGGGAGCUUUGAGAAUAUGGAGACCAUACACAAUGCUGGUGUGAAUUUGACAUGUAUGCAAAGUGUCAAGCAGUGUUAGAGGCCAACAGGAUAUUUGGAAGAAUUUUGAACAAGGAUGUUGUCACGUGGAAUUCGAUGAUUGCAGGCUAUGCUGAGAAUAGUAUGGACGAUGAUGCUCUGAUGCUAUUUAAACAGAUGAGGCUGCAGGGCGCUUCACCUGAUGCCACCUCUGUGGUGAAUGCUCUGUCAGCUUCUGUUUGUCUGGGUGACCUAGUUAUGGGUAAAUCAUUCCAUAGAUGCCAAUGCAAGCAGAUGUUAGUGUUUGGGGAGCUUUUCUCCAUGGAUGUGGGCUCCAUUCAAGGUUACAGUUUGGAGAAGAAGCUUUCAAGAGAAUGAUGGUGCUUCAUCCUGAAAGACCAGAUUUGUAUGGGCUGAUAUCAAACUUGUAUACCUCAUAUGGGAUGUGGGAAAAAUCUCUAGCUAUCCAAAGAUGGAUGCAGGAAAAAGGACUAGUCAAAUUACCUGGGUGCAGCUCUGUAGGUCCUGAAAAUGGAUGACUGAAAGAUGCUUUCAGAACUAAGAACAGGAAAUCCCACUAGGUGUUAUCUUUCUAUGCUUGUUGACACCUAUAAUUAACAUCAUGUGGCAGUGCCAGCAGAAAGUUCAGAAUAAUUUAAUGUGCUGAUAUGUUAGGCUGUGUCAGUUAAAAGUGAAAGCAAUCUAUAAAGCAGAGAAAGAUCAAGAAGCUAAAUUGUGACACGCUCCAUAUGUAUUUCUUUAGUCGAGGCCUUUUAGCUUUGCAUCUAAAUGGACUGAACCUGCUGUAUGUGCAUGGAGCGGAUGAAUGAGCUGGAUUAUGUCAGUUUACAGUCUAAGCUUCCAUGAAGAUCAUGGAGCUCAUUGCCAGAGGUCCAGAGCCAUCAUCAGCUGUCUUUAACCUGCAUAUACUAAUAAUGCUUAGCUCUUUUGCAGAUUGUAAUAUGCAUGCUGGUUACCUGCACACGGGAUGGUUGAUUGGCUACGUCUGUUGAUUUUUCUUUUUGUUUAUUGUAGUUCCCCAAAUUGUAAAAACAGGAUCAAUGAAAUAGCAGAGUGUAAUGAGUUUUCAUGGACAAAACCGUGUGCACCGUUUGAAUAUGAUCAUUGAAAUAGCAUAUUGUACUUGGUCAAAAAAUCAUUGUAUUCGAUCUAAGUUUUUAUUUCUCA